AGUUGAGGACCACUGGAGAGAUUUAAAUAUACCUCGCCCUCAAAGAAAAAGAAGGAGGAGUCUACUAAAUAUUGUAUUUGUCGAUCGAUUAUUAUGCCGUCCGUGACAGCAACCAGCACCUCCAGCAGUUUCACCAACUAUUUUGUUUGAGGGUAGCACAUAGCAGCGAUAAUGGAGGUCUUCAGAAAUGGAAAUUUCUCUGCUGAUCCCCUGGUAUUCGAAGUAACUUUCUUCGUUUUCACCGUAAAUUUCUUCAUGCAACACUAUAUUUACAUUGUUGCUUAAAAUCUUUCAAAAUCUUGUCAGUAGCUUGGGGGAAACUGGAUCUGGUAGAUAUCGCACCACGCUUGGGAAUAUUGGAAAUAAUUUAAUUGAGAGCAUCGUGUUAAUUUUGGUUUGAUUACCAGGCAUUUGGGAUGUUUUAAUAUGGUGUGUUGGCAAGGACAUCUCCAUUCUGUGGUAGUGAGUGAUGCCUCAAGAAGCCUGUCUUUUUUCACGAAGAAGUUGCGCUUUAAAUAUCGGCAAGACUCCUUUGGUUCAAAUAAUAAAGUAUGAGAUUUUCCAGGCAGAAUUUCUAGCAAUUCAGCAUUUGAUUAACACAACUGUGAGCAAGGACUCAGCCUAGAGAUUGAGAGCCUCAGCAUAUUAAACUAGCCCAUAUUCCAGUUGUAGCACAAAAUUUGUAAAAUCGUGAUUUUUCCGAAAUACCUAGGAAAGUCAAGUAAAUAAAGUGUUACGGGUAAA